rnacentral:rRNA from 1 species
AAGGAAUAUUGGUCAAUGGAGGCAACUCUGAACCAGCCAUGCCGCGUGAAGGAUUAAGGCCCUCUGGGUUGUAAACUUCUUUUAUAUGGGAAGAAAUGUACUUUUUCUAAAGUGCUUGACGGUACCAUAGGAAUAAGCACCGGCUAACUCCGUGCCAGCAGCCGCGGUAAUACGGAGGGUGCAAGCGUUAUCCGGAUUUACUGGGUUUAAAGGGUGCGUAGGCGGAUGAAUAAGUCAGUGGUGAAAUCUCCGAGCUUAACUCGGAAACUGCCGUUGAUACUAUUUGUCUUGAGACCGAGAGAGGUAAGGGGAAUUCCUAGUGUAGAGGUGAAAUUCGUAGAUAUUAGGAAGAACACCAGUGGCGAAGGCGCCUUACUGGCUCGGUACUGACGCUGAGGUACGAAAGCGUGGGGAGCAAACA